AUCUUGCUUUUUGUGCGUUUGUUCUCAUUUCUUGUUUUUGUCUUUAUUGCAUACUUUCUGCCCCCUGCCCCAACCACUAUUUUUCCUUCAGUUACUUUCUCCCUGUCACUUACACAAUUUUUUUCUUGUUUGCUUCAUCCUCUCAUUUUCUUCCUUUCGUUUUCUCUUUUUUCCUUCCUCCUUUUCUGUCUUUCCCUCUCAUCUGUUUUGCUGUUUCUCUCUUACCUCAUUUUUGCUUUUCUCUACUCUUGUUCUCCCAACCCUCAUCCACGUUUUGCCUUUCCGGCCCUCUCAUUUUUCCAUUGUUCUUCUCCGAAGUCUGGAAAGGGCCUGCGGGGCUGUAGCUCUCCCUUCGCCGGAGAAGCCUGUAGGGCAGCCUGGAGCAGUGUCGCUGGCCCGGAGCCCUGCCAGCAACUAGGAUGGCCCGGCCUGGCUGGGGAUGAGGCAACCCAGCCCUUCUCCGUGAGAUGAAGUCAGGAGGGCCUCUCCUGGCCUUUGAGAAAAAUCUUUGGGACAAACUGAUGGCGGGGUCCAGGAGCUACAGGAACCAGAGAUUGGGAGGCACAGCUUGUCAGGAGGCUGCCCUCUCUGUCCCUCUCACCCGGGCAAUCCUGGGACAUCCUCUGGAUUAAGACAUUCUCAGGACAAACCCAGCUGCUUCAGAGAUGGGGGCCAAGGGACACAGCUAUGAAAUUAGACAGUUGUGGCUUCCACUAUGGGACAAGUGGAUCUGAGGUGCAAUCGAAAGAUGAUCUGCUAGUGGGAGAGGAUAGCUCCGACCACACAGCCGCUGCUGCCUGCUCUGAUGGCUUCUGGAAAUGGGAGAGCACUUAGCCAAGCCCAGAGUUGGUGGUGUCAGAUGAUACAGUGAAGAUUUCUGCUGGGGGAAGAGCAACUAGCCUACAACCGUGUUACAUCCUCAUGUCUGUGGAGAAGACACCCCUGUACAACAUGUCCCGCAAACUAGAAGACCUGAGCUUGGUUGUGCCGUCAGAGAAGCUAUGACCUCUCAGCACAGAGAAGAGUACCAGGGUGCCCACUCCUCUUUCCCAGGAACUGCCAAGGAGCCAGGAGCCAGGACUGUCUCAUCUCUGAAUCCCCCCUCCACUGCCACACCCCUUCCCUCUUUCCAGAGCUCCCAGUCACCUCGAAGCCCCAAUUUAUCUCCAGGAGGAACCCAAAAAAACACUGGCUGGGCCCCAGGUACAGAGCUGAAGGGGGUCCAGCCCAGCUGCUAUGAAUCAGCUCUACCCUUCUGUGAGCCAGUGCAGAAUGAAGUGCACACAUCAGUGAAGAGUCCUCACAUUUCUCAUUUCCAAACUACACCUAGCUCAUAAAAAGCAUGCGAAUGUAAUAAAUUCUCCCCUGCAGGA